rnacentral:rRNA from 1 species
GUGUCAGCCGCCGCGGUAAUACGUAGGAGGCGAGCGUUGUCCGGAUUUACUGGGCGUAAAGCGCGCGCAGGCGGCACUUCAAGUAAGGUGUGAAAUCUCCCUGCUCAACGGGGAGGGUGCACUUUAGACUGAGGAGCUAGAGGACGGUAGAGGGGGGUGGAAUUGCUGGUGUAGCGGUGAAAUGCGUAGAGAUCAGCAGGAACACCCGUGGCGAAGGCGGCCCCCUGGGCCGUACCUGACGCUGAGGCGCGAAGGCUAGGGGAGCGAACGGGAUUAGAUACCCUUGUAGUCC